GACGAACGCUGGCGGCGUGCUUAACACAUGCAAGUCGAACGGAAAGGCCCUGCUUUUGUGGGGUGCUCGAGUGGCGAACGGGUGAGUAACACGUGAGUAACCUGCCCUUGACUUUGGGAUAACUUCAGGAAACUGGGGCUAAUACCGGAUAGGAGCUCCUGCUGCAUGGUGGGGGUUGGAAAGGUUCGGUGGUUGGGGAUGGACUCGCGGCUUAUCAGCUUGUUGGUGGGGUAGUGGCUUACCAAGGCUUUGACGGGUAGCCGGCCUGAGAGGGUGACCGGCCACACUGGGACUGAGAUACGGCCCAGACUCCUACGGGAGGCAGCAGUGGGGAAUAUUGCACAAUGGGCGGAAGCCUGAUGCAGCAACGCCGCGUGCGGGAUGACGGCCUUCGGGUUGUAAACCGCUUUCGCCUGUGACGAAGCGUGAGUGACGGUAAUGGGUAAAGAAGCACCGGCUAACUACGUG
rnacentral:rRNA from 1 species